GUAUCUGGCAAAGAUGAUGUGAGAUGAGACACUCCUUCCCCACCACCUGGAUAAUCAGGAGUUUUGCCCAGACCUUUGAGCACACACCGAGAUAGUGAGGAGCCAGAUGAAAAACACAGAUUAUAGCGCUGGAACAGAUGAAUAAGGAACUCGGUGAUUUGGCCUGUGACUCUCCAGCACAAAGUUCUGCAGAUCCUGUUGGGGAUGAUAUGUUUCACUGGCAAGCCACAAUUAUGGGACCUAAUGACAACCCAUAUCAGGGAGGUGUAUUCUUUUUGACAAUUCAUUUUCCUACAGACUACCCCUUCAAACCACCUAAGGUUGCAUUUACAACAAGAAUUUAUCAUCCAAGUACUAACAGUAAUGGUAGCAUUUGUCUCGAUAUUCUAAGAUCACAGUGGUCUCCUACUUUAUUUCUUUUAUCCAUUUUUUCACUGCUGUGUGAUCCAAGCCCAGAUGACCCCUUAGUCCCAGAGAUCACACGGAUCUAUAAAACAGACAGAGAUAAGUACAACAGAGAUUCUUGGGAAUGGACUCAGAAGUAUGCCAUGUGA